GACGAACGCUGGCGGCGUGCCUAAUACAUGCAGGUUGGGCGCUGAAGGUUGGUACUUGUACCAACUGGAUGAGCAGCGAACGGGUGAGUAACGCGUGGGGAAUCUGCCUUUGAGCGGGGGACAACAUUUGGAAACGAAUGCUAAUACCGCAUAAAAACUUUAAACACAAGUUUUAAGUUUGAAAGAUGCAAUUGCAUCACUCAAAGAUGAUCCCGCGUUGUAUUAGCUAGUUGGUGAGGUAAAGGCUCACCAAGGCGAUGAUACAUAGCCGACCUGAGAGGGUGAUCGGCCACAUUGGGACUGAGACACGGCCCAAACUCCUACGGGAGGCAGCAGUAGGGAAUCUUCGGCAAUGGACGAAAGUCUGACCGAGCAACGCCGCGUGAGUGAAGAAGGUUUUCGGAUCGUAAAACUCUGUUGGUAGAGAAGAACGUUGGUGAGAGUGGAAAGCUCAUCAAGUGACGGUAACUACCCAGAAAGGGACGGCUAACUACGUG
rnacentral:rRNA from 1 species